GAAAUGCGAUAAGUAGUGUGAAUUGCAGAAUUCAGUGAAUCAUCGAAUCUUUGAACGCACAUUGCGCCCCUUGGUAUUCCAUGGGGCAUGCCUGUUCGAGCGUCAUUUGUACCCUCAAGCUCUGCUUGGUGUUGGGUGUUUGUCCCCGUCUCCGCGCGUGGACUCGCCCCAAAGUGAUUGGCAGCCGGCGUACUGGUCCCGGAGCGCAGCACAUGUCGCGCAAACGAGUGCCUUGGUACGGCGGCGUCCAUAAGCCCCUCUCUCACGCUCUUGACCUCGGAUCAGGUAGGGAUACCCUCUGAACUUAAGC
rnacentral:misc_RNA from 1 species